rnacentral:rRNA from 1 species
CACGUAGGCGGACUCUUAAGUCAGGGGUGAAAUCCUGGAGCUCAACUCCAGAACUGCCUUUGAUACUGGGAGUCUUGAGUUCGGGAGAGGUGAGUGGAACUGCGAGUGUAGAAGUGAAAUUCGUAGAUAUUCGCAAGAACACCAGUGGCGAAGGCGGCUCACUGGCCCGAUACUGACGCUGAGGUGCGAAAGCGUGGGGAGCAAACA